AGGGCACAUGCCAAGCACAUAGGGUCUGCAUGCAGGGUACACGCGUGGGCACUGUGUGCACACAGUGGAGAUCAGUGCUGCCCACCUUGCCCCGGGGCCAGCAGCCACUGCUCCCAGCACACCCUGCCCUACCUGCAGAGCGGGUGCCCCCUGAGGAUGAUGAGUACUCUGAAUACUCCGAGUAUUCCGUGGAGGAGUACCAGGACCCUGAAACCCCUUGGGAUAGUGAUGACCCCUGUUCCCUGCCGCUGGAUGAGGGCUCCUGCACUGCCUACACCCUGCGCUGGUACCAUCGGGCUGUGACAGGUGGCACAGAGGCCUGUCACCCUUUUGUCUAUGGCGGCUGUGGAGGGAAUGCCAACCGUUUUGGGACCCGUGAGGCCUGCGAACGCCGCUGCCCACCCCGGGUGGCCCAGAGCCAGGGGACAGGUACUGCCCAGGACUGAGGCCCAGAUGAUGAGCCGAGAUUCAGCGUCCCCUGGAGGAGUCGCGGUCUCAGCAGAACCCCACUGUCCCUCCCCUUGGUGCUAGAGGCUUGUGUGCACGUGAGCGUGCGUGUGCACAUCCAUUAUUUCAGUGACUUGGUCCCGUGGGUCUAGCCUUCCCCCCAGGGACAAACCCCCAUUGUGGCUUCUGCCACCCUGGCAGAUGACUCACUGUGGGGGGUGGCUGUGGGCAGUGAGCGGAUGUGACUGGCGUCUGACCCGCCCCUUGACCCAAGCCUGUGAUGACAUGGUGCUGAUUCUGGGGGGCAUUAAAGCUGCUGUUUUAAAAGG
rnacentral:sRNA from 1 species